rnacentral:rRNA from 1 species
CAGUCGCCGCGGUAAUACAGAGGGUGCGAGCGUUAAUCGGAUUUACUGGGCGUAAAGCGUGCGUAGGCGGCUUCUUAAGUCGGAUGUAAAAUCCCUGAGCUUAACUUAGGAACUGCAUUCGAUACUGGGAAGCUAGAGUAUGGGAGAGGAUGGUAGAAUUCCAGGUGUAGCGGUGAAAUGCGUAGAGAUCUGGAGGAAUACCGAUGGCGAAGGCAGCCAUCUGGCCUAAUACUGACGCUGAGGUACGAAAGCAUGGGGAGCAAACAGGAUUAGAUACCCGAGUAGUCCCUGUCUCUUAUAC